AGAUCAAAACAUGACCUCUAUGGACAGAAAUGUAAAAUAUGGAGCAAUCACUCGCAUUUUUUAAAUGUCUAAUUAAUCCCACCCCUUUUCACAGCGCCGUAUAACAGAAUUUUACAUGCUCAAACUCAAGUGUGACCGCAGCUUUAUUGUGACAGUAAGUGAUGGUCAGGUAUUUCUUUCAGAUAGAUAGAGAUAGAAGAACGGUAUCGAAGAAUGGUAUUAAGUUUAAUUAAUGACUUGAAAUCUUUUUAUUGUAUUUUUCAGAUCAGACUGUACCACAUGGAGGAAAAAAGGAAUACCACACCUCAGCAAAGACUGGAUGGUCAGGAAUUUAUGUUAAAAAAAUCUGAUGGACCGGUGCAUUGAUGGACGUCAUUCCAAGAUUAAGGAGUGGUGGUUGGUAUAAAUCAGGGGUGCUCCACCAUGUUCCUGGAGAUCGACCUUCCUGCAGAUUUCAGUUGCAACCCAUAUCAAACACAUCUGCCUGUAAUUAUCAAGUGGUGUUUAGGUUCUAGUUAAUUGGUUCAGGUGUGUUUGAUCAGGGUUGGAGUGGAACUCUGUUGUAAGGUAGACUUCCAGGAACAUUGUUGAGCACCCCUGGUAUAGAUAGUUAAUUAGGCCUUGUCUAUGUCAGCUUUUUCUUUUUCAGGUAAUGGAGAGAGAGCAGGCAGAAGAUGGAGACUCACAAGAGCAUUGGUGGACAUUUAUCUAAAAAAUGCUGGAAAACAGCAGGUAGGGCUCUUUCAGUGCUGUCUAAAGGUGCGUCCCAAAUCGCAUACUUAUGCAAUAUUCUAUGCCAUUUUCCAUUGUAAAUAGUUUUAGUGUGUUCACACUGAAAUAUUCUUAAAGUAUAUUUUUAAAAAAUCUGAUGGACAGGUGGAUGGAUGGAUGUCCUUCUGAGAUGAAGAAGUGGUGGUUGGUACAGAUUGUAAUUAGGCCUCGUCUGUCAGCUUUUUCUUUUUCAGAUAAUGGAGAGAGAGCAGGCAAAAAGGAAGACUCACCAGAGCAUCAGUGGACAAUUUUUUUUCUUUUUUUGGUGCUGUCUUUGUUUUUUGCAGGUUGGGGUAGAGCAGAAGAAGGAGACUCACAAUGAGAACGGUGGAGAUAUACUUGAUCUAGAGCUCCUGAAGCAGGUAGAACUGGUUGAACAAUCUGAACAACGGAGCAAGCUUUCAGAAAAAUUUAUUAAGAUUAAUUAAAGACUUAAUAUCUUUCGUUUUGGCAGACUGGCAUGGAGCAUGUGAUGCAACAGGGAAACACCUCAGUAAUGACAAGUACAUCAUAAUUUAGAGUGGAGUGGAGAAACUAGGGAAUCACAUCUCAGCAAUGAUAAGAAACCGAUAGUCAGGUAUCACGUCAACGACAAAUGUCCAAGAGGAAAGGUGGGGUGAUGGGCUUGAGUCGGGCUCAGACUAAAGAAGUUUUAAAAUCCUAACUGAUAAUAAGAUCUGGUUGCAGCACACACGAGAAGAGUCUUCUGCGAAUUUAUUAGCCUACCUCAAAUCUUAAACGUGCACACACUACAAGAUAUGAAAACUGUGGCACACACAAGAUUAUCAUGACCGAUAAUGCACAUCACACUUUUUAUCAAUAAUAACAAUUUAUUAAUAUACUAAUAUUAGACCAACUGCCACUACUGGCAAAACACUCUCAUGCACUCAAAAUACAUUAGGUUCCUGUUUGUGUAGCUGUUAGUGGCGGUUAUAAGGUUAAAUAAACGGUGACCAAUAUGAAAUAUGUCAAAUGUCGAAUAAUAAGAAUAGGCUUAUAAUCUGUCCAUCGUGCCACGAUGCGCUGUGCUUUCUAAUUCAAAAGCAAAAUUGUUACCUGUUUUGCAAUUUCUAAAAGCACAUUUUAAUGCUUAACCAUUUUGUUUUUUGGUGAUAACUAGCAAUGUAGUAGGCAUAGCUACCCAGCUACAUCUGGGUCAUAAAUAUUUACGCACACAGAAUAAUAACAUUAGUGUCACGACUCGGCUCACUUCACACUCAUAAAAGCACUAGAUCGCAGAAAUGAUCAAAACACAUUUAUUUACAUAACACUCGCUGGAACAUCGACACGCAGGAAUCAUGGGUUGACGACAACAUGGAAUGAAGUGUAGGAAUAACUUGAAACUAAUGAACAUCAAGAAACUGCGGGAAACAGAACAAAGGAGCACUUGAUCACAACAGAACCACAAGGGAAAACACAGGAGCACAUGGAACACACUGGGAAGUCACAUGACGCAAACAUAAGCACAUGGGACACAACACAGACCCUGACAGUCUGUGGCUAUGAAAAAUGAUCAUUUAAACUUAUUAUCAAUUUAUUUAUUUUGUAAAAUGGAUGUGAUUCUCCCUAGCUCUUCUUGUUAGUGAUGCUUGGAGGCCGUUGUCACAACCACAAACGGAAUAACUCGCUUUUUUAUUACUUAUUAUUAUUUUCGUAAUAUUUGACCAACUGUCACUAUAGGAAAACACUAAUAGCCUAAACACUAAUCAAAACAGGCUACAUUAUGUCUCAGUUUGCAUAGCUGUUCAUGCAGUUAACCUAUAAAAAUAAACAAACACACAAGGUAA